rnacentral:rRNA from 1 species
GGGCCCGCACAAGCGGUGGAGCAUGUGGUUUAAUUCGAUGCAACGCGAAGAACCUUACCUACUCUUGACAUCCAGAGAAUUUAGCAGAGAUGCUUUAGUGCCUUCGGGAACUCUGAGACAGGUGCUGCAUGGCUGUCGUCAGCUCGUGUUGUGAAAUGUUGGGUUAAGUCCCGCAACGAGCGCAACCCUUAUCCUUUGUUGCCAGCGAUUCGGUCGGGAACUCAAAGGAGACUGCCGGUGAUAAACCGGAGGAAGGUGGGGAUGACGUCAAGUCAUCAUGGCCCUUACGAGUAGGGCUACACACGUGCUACAAUGGCGUAUACAAAGAGAAGCGACCUCGCGAGAGCAAGCGGAACUCAUAAAGUACGUCGUAGUCCGGAUUGGAGUCUGCAACUCGACUCCAUGAAGUCGGAAUCGCUAGUAAUCGUAGAUCAGAAUGCUACGGUGAAUACGUUCCCGGGCCUUGUACACACCGCCCGUCACACCAUGGGAGUGGGUUGCAAAAGAAGUAGGUAGCUUAACCUUCGGGAGGGCGCUUACCACUUUGUGAUUCAUGA